ACAGCUGCUCAGUGCUCCCUCUAUUAGCUCUAAAUAUCUCCAAGAUGUUGACUGUAUUCAGUGCCUUCAUAGAAUUCUUGCUUGGGGUCCUUGCCCACAAUCCUGUUGAACUCCAUGUACCCCUGAAAAAUACAGAAAUGGGCAAUGAAAUAAAUUAAUAAAAGAUGACAAAUGGGAUUUCCAGAGACAUCAAAUAACAAGAAAGCUAGAAUGCAUUAUAUCUAUCUUGAAUAUACCUGAUUUUCUGUGAAAAGAGCAGGCCAGCAUUCCACCAUUUCGCUUAUGGCAGUUUCAGACUCCGCCUCCUCUUUUUUCUUCUCAAAGCAAACGUCAGGUCCAUUUUCUGUCUCACAACUGGUCCAUUUGGUGUUCUCCUCUGCAUUUCAUUAACCAGGUCCUUACGAGCACCCUCAAGGGCUGCCUGAUCAAAUUCCUCUGGAAAGCUGGAGACUGAUGAUGCAGCAAGAAUGGUUGCCAGCUGAGGAACCUUCUGGCAGAAAACUUGUUGGACAUUCUUAGGCCAGUGUAAGAGCUACAUUUCUGAAGUUGUGAGCACUGCAAAUGACCGUUUGAAGAAUUUGUGCUUUCCCUCAAAGCACAUUGUCCAGAUGUCUGAAAGUAGACCAGAUGCCUUAAUCAGCACUCCCAAGAGUUUCCCAAGUGUGCCUGCACCUCCAACAUCACUACAUUUGUCGGCACAGCUACUAAGAUGAUUCCUCAGCUUAUCAGCACCCGUGUUUGAAGUGGACUCCUUGGUUUGCAUUCCCUGGUUUUAGGAAGAGGAUUUCCAUCGCCACAUCUGACUCUGUCUUGACCUAACUUAUUUGAAUUAAACUGUGCUUUAACACCAUCAUCUGUGUCAAGGUUGUCCUGCAUAUUGGGGUUCCCUUGAUUCACCCCCCAACCGUAACAUGCCCAAGAUAAAUUUCUCCCUGGGGAGACUAAUAAAGACACUUUGACUUUGUUCAGACUUCCUUACAGUUGAUAUUUGAAGAGACUGAGGGUUUUGAUGGUGAUGCAGAGGAAGAAGUGCAUAUGCAAUAAACACAUAGUGAAACUCUGCUCCUCAUGUGUGGUGAAGUCUAGUGUGAAAAUGACCAAGUUCAAUUUGGGCCAAUGUGUUGUUCAGACAGAUGUUAUGUGUAAA